rnacentral:lncRNA from 10 species
GGAAUGUCCCACCCCACCUUCCCGUGAUGACCUGAACAAGUUCUUCAGGUUAACUUUGGAGUGCCCUUGGCUGAGAGGAGGGGUUCUUUCAGAUGACUGGGGGGGCCUUAUAAUUUUAUUUUUGGUCUACAAUACAAUAUUUGUUCGUUUGUGUCUGGCUUAUUUCACUUAGCAUAAUGUCUUCAAGGUUAAUCCAUGUGAUAGCAUGUGUCAGAUCUUCCUUCCUUUUUAAGGCUGAAUAUUUUCCAUUAUAUGGACCCCAUUUUACUUAUCUAUUUAUCUGCUAAUGGACACUUGGGUUGCUUCCACCCUUUGACUACUGUGAAUAAUGUUGCUAUGAACAUGGAUGUAUAACUAUCUGUCUGAGUCAUUGCUUUCACUUUUCUGGGUAUAUACCCAGAAGUGGAAAUGAUGUAGGAGUUAAAAAGACAUUAUUUAGGCAGAUAGUGAGGGUAAGGAAGUCCUCAGUAAGGUUUUCCUUUUAAUGAAAAGCAGCCGCCAAAUCAUUUUCUUUUCUAACAAAGGGUGGCCAGUAAAAUCAAGCUGCAGACAUAGAAAGGCAGGCUAGAAGUUUGCACAGGUGAAUGCUGGCAGUUGUGCCAAUAGGAAAGGGGUUACCUGGGAAAUAGGCAUGUUCAAAAUGGCAGUUUCAUCUUCCCUUUUCCUUGCCAACCACAUGUGCAGCAGGGGGCAGACAACAUGGAGCUCGUCAGGCAAAUAGCCCAUUUGCAUAAGAUUAGGGUGGGGAAGCCAGCUUCCCUCAAGCUAUGUAAACAUCACACUAGGUCCAACCAAUCUUUGGGCCCUAUGUAAAUCAGACACCGCCUCCUCAAGCCUUUCUAUAAAACCCUGUGCACUCCACGACCAGCCGGAACUCCCACUCAGGUGCCCUUCUCUCUCUCGCAGAAGAGAGAGCUGUUUUCUUUUCUCUUUCUUUUGCCUAUUAAACCUCUGCUCCUAAACCCACUUCCUGUGUGUCUGCAUACUCGAUAUCCUUGGCAUGAGAUGGCGAACCUCAGGUGUUUACCCCAGAGAAUGAUGUUUCUUUGGAAUUGCUGAAACAUAUGGUAAUUCUAUGUUUAAUUUGUUGAGGCACCACCAUAUUGUUUUCCAUAGUGGCUGCACCAUUUUACAUUCCUGCCCAUUCCCAAUGCAUCCGGCUUCCAGUUUCUCAAUAUCCAACACUUGUUAUUUUCUAUUUUUUUUUUUCAUUAGUAGCCUUCCUAAUGAGUGUGAAGUGGUAUCUCAUUGUGAUUUUGAUUUGCAUUUUCCUAAUGAUUGAUUAGUGAUGCUGAGCAUCUUUUCAUAUGCUUAUUGACCAUUUGUAUACAUAUUAUCUUUGGACAAAUGUCUAUUCAAGUCCUUUGCCCAUUUUUUAUUUGGACUGACUUUGUUGUUGUUGAGUUGCAGGAGUUCUUAUUUUUAAAUAUUUAAUUUUUUUUUUUUAGAGACGGGGUCUCACUGUAUCAGCUAGAAUGUACAACUCCUCUGCCACAACGUGAGGGAGAGAAGUCUGCAGACGGCUGACUGGUGACGACUGAACAAGACGGAAAGGCAAGUCGCUAUGCCCGAAGCCUUUGAAGGGAGCCAGCAGGGUCCAUGGGAGGUUCAGGACACAUAUCUGCAGCCCUGCUUCUGGCCCCACCCUUGGGGAAGCCUUUUGCAGGUGAUCCUGGGCCUCUGCUGGGGAAGGCCCCAAGAGGUGAAGCAUCCUCUGCAGAGGAGAGAGCACAUCCGGAAGUAGAAGACAGACCACUGUCUGGGCUCCGUUUAACUGCUGUGAUUUGGGAUUGUAACUUACUCCCGUAAAGCCUCAGUUUCCCACAUGGAAAAUCAAAUCGAUCAUUGUUAUAACAUUUCACUUUUUUGUUAUGUGAUGUAAUUUACACAGUGCUUUCGUAUACGUUAUCCAAUUUAGCGAAAUAAUACAGAGCAAUGCAUUUUGAAAAGAAUAAAAUGCUUAACAUAUGUGAGGAAUUCUUUUUUCCUUUGAAAACUACUCCGGAUGGCUUGGCUAUUGUUUAGUUAAGAGAAUUAUACAAUUUUUGAGACAUGGUUCCUUAUCUUGUGUAGGCUGAAAGGCAAUUAAACAAUUAUUCAUGUCAGAAUCUGAGGUAAAUAAAAGGCUGCUUCAAAGAGUCCACUUACGGAGUGAAAAGCAGUUGAGUAGAAACAGAGAGUGGUCUGUAAUUUCCUUCUGGAAGGAAUAUCCACUCCAUAUGGCCUGAAGCAAGAAUUUCAAACUCCUCUGUGGGGAGAAAGAGACAGAAAUAAAAACUUUUAAGUUUUUUUACUCCGAUUUGUCCCAGCCAUUUUCUGAACAGCCUAUGGAAGCCAUCCGCUCCUCUAAACAAAAAUAAGCUAAGAGACAGAAAGAAUGAUUUGAUUUCCGUGUGUAGGGAUGGUUCAGUCAUAAAUCAGUGUAUUUUUUCCAAGAGGAAGGUGCCAGCAACAAAAGUUGGUCAUAAAAAGGACAUUAAACUUUAGUAGUCUCUUCACUGUUCCCUCCCACAUCCAGUUGCCAACAGCAGAGACAACUGUGAGACACAGUGAAAUGAAGUGACUGCUCCACUGCUGGGCAACAGGAGACCCGGAUGCCAGGCUCCCUGGCAGAAGAAAUAGAAAGUCAAUAGCAAACACAGAUGUCUUCCUCCCUACCACAUCACCUCCACUUUUCACCAUCGCCUGUGUGAUACAACCACCCCGCAAUGCCUUCCUCAGCCUUUUACUUCUGUUUCCAGUGAGUCAAGAAAAACUUCUCCAGCUUGCCCUGUGGAGAUGAAUGAGCCCAUAAUCCACUUACACGUGUGACCUUUACACAGCCAGGACCCCCAUAGAGCAGCCAAACAUGCAGUCUUGUAAACAAAAGGAAUUUCAAGAUAACUCUGAUCUUUCACUAAUUAUCCCAAAGCCCAAAGGGGAUCCAUAUACAUAGUCCGAAGCCUACUUUAAGGAGGCAUCCUCCCCUGUGUAUUCCCAGCCCAUCCCAUAGUU